UAGGGAAUCUUCGGCAAUGGACGAAAGUCUGACCGAGCAACGCCGCGUGAGUGAAGAAGGUUUUCGGAUCGUAAAACUCUGUUGUUAGAGAAGAACAAGGACGUUAGUAACUGAACGUCCCCUGACGGUACCUAACCAGAAAGCCACGGCUAACUACGUGCCAGCAGCCGCGGUAAUACGUAGGUGGCAAGCGUUGUUCGGAUUUAUUGGGCGUAAAGCGAGCGCAGGCGGUUUCUUAAGUCUGAUGUGAAAGCCCCCGGCUCAACCGGGGAGGGUCAUUGGAAACUGGGAGACUUGAGUGCAGAAGAGGAGAGUGGAAUUCCAUGUGUAGCAGUGAAAUGCGUAGAUAUAUGGAGAAACACCAGUGGCGAAGGCGGCUCUCUGGUCUGUAACUGACGCUGAGGCUCGAAAGCGUGGGGAGCAAACAGG
rnacentral:rRNA from 1 species